rnacentral:piRNA from 1 species
UGACUUGACGGGAUGGCUUACAAGUC